AACCGCCAGUGGAAACUUAUUUCCACUGGCGGUUAUGUUAAGAUAACCGCCAGUGGAAAUAGGUUUCCACUGGCGGUU
rnacentral:pre_miRNA from 7 species